UCCGAGAAGUGGUCAUUCGCUGUAUUAUUGCAAAAUGGUAUAGAGGAAAGUCCGGACAUCACAGGACAGGAUUCCUUGUGAAAGCGAGGGGUGCUUGCUUAAAAGCAAGUUCACGGCUAGUGCAACAGAAAAUAAACCGCUCGUUUAUGCGAGUAAGGGUGAAAUGGUGGGGUAAAAGCCCACCGCCACGAGGGCAACUUAGUGGGCUAUGUAAACCCAGUCCGAUGCAAGGCGAAAUAGGGAACGAGGUGGUCCGCCUAAUGGUUUCGGGUACGCCGCAUCUCCAUUUUGGAGAAUCUUCGUAAGAAGAUAGAUAAAUGAGUGACAAUUCGAAUUACAGAAUUACAGAAUCCGGCUUACAUCUUCUCGGAAUUC
rnacentral:RNase_P_RNA from 1 species